CCCUUAGAUGUUCGGGGCUGCACACGCGCUACACUGGAGGAAACAGCGUGUAUUGACCUGGUCCGAAAGGACUGGGUAAACCUGUGAAACUUCUCCGUGCUUGGGAUAGCGGAUUGCAAUUGUUUCGCUUCAACGAGGAAUUCCUAGUAAGCGUAAGUCAUCAGCUUGCGUCGAUUACGUCCCUGCCCUUUGUACACACCGCCCGUCGCUCCUACCGAUUGGGUGUGCUGGUGAAAUGUUCGGAUCGGCCGUUUGUCGCGGUUUCCGCGUCAUGUGGCUGAGAAGUUCAUUAAACCCUCCCACCUAGAGGAAGGAGAAGUCGUAACA
rnacentral:rRNA from 1 species